rnacentral:sRNA from 1 species
AGUACACAGCGAAGAUCCCCCUGGGUAGAUGUUCUCGCACGUAGUCUAGUUCUCCUUGCGAGAAGGUCAUAUUGACAAAAUGGGGUUGGUCAAUACUAGUACCAAUACCAUUAUAAACUGGAUAAGCGUUGCUCGAAUUCAGCCGGUGCAUGUUCUCAGGAUUUCGCGAUAAUCUGAAUUGUCAGGGAUUUCAUGCUCUGUCAUCGCUCCAAGCUUCGAGGUUACGUCCGUUUUUUGAUGUGAAUAUUGAGGCUUUGGUGACGUGCAGUUCCCAGACAUCUUACCAUUUUCAUUUAUUUCUACUGGAUUGAGGUUGAAC